rnacentral:rRNA from 1 species
AUACGGAAGGUCCGGGCGUUAUCCGGAUUUAUUGGGUUUAAAGGGAGCGCAGGCGGAGAUGCAAGCGUGACGUCAAAUUUCGGGGCUCAACCCCGUCUCGCGUCGCGAACUGCGUCCCUUGGUUGCGGGAAGGGGAGGCGGAACUCGUGGUGUAGCGGGGCAAUGCAUAGAUAUCACGAAGAACUCCGAUCGCGAAGGCAGCCUUCCGGCCCGUCAACGACGCUCAUGCUCGAAGGUGCGGGUAUCAAACAGGAUUAGAUACCCUGGUAGUCCGCACAGUAAACGAUGGACACCCGCGGUUUGGCCUGUAUGGCUGAGCCGCCAAGCGAAAGCGUUAAGUGUCCCACCUGGGGAGUACGCCGGCAACGGUGAAACUCAAAUGAAUUGGCGGGG